rnacentral:misc_RNA from 1 species
GAUGAAGAACGUAGCGAAAUGCGAUAAGUAAUGUGAAUUGCAGAAUUCAGUGAAUCAUCGAAUCUUUGAACGCACAUUGCGCCCUCUGGUAUUCCGGGGGGCAUGCCUGUUCGAGCGUCAUUUCACCACUCAAGCCUGGCUUGGUGUUGGGCGACGUCCCCUUUGGGGACGCGCCUCGAAACGCUCGGCGGCGUGGCACCGGCUUUAAGCGUAGCAGAAUCUUUCGCUUUGGAAGUCGGGGCCCCGUCUGCCGGAAGACCUACUCGCAAGGUUGACCUCGGAUCAGGCAGGGAUACCCGCUGAACUUAAGCAUAUCAAUAAGCGGAGGA